GGUUUUCUGUGUCCCACAAUUACAGAUAUUUUGAUAUCAGCCGCUUUGCUUGACUUUUGAAAUCUCUUCCUCACAUAAAUUCAUGUCGAUUUGUAUGAGCUGUCGUAUCACCGCAAACGUAUUAGGCAUCAUCUCAUCGUGAGAGAAACAACAGAAGUGGCACUUUUUUGGUGAUACCCAACUUCCAUGAAGACGCUUUUUAGUGCAGAAGAAAUAUCACAGAAAUUACCCAGCAGAUUCCAGGAGGGUAACUUGUUUUGAAAUUUGAAGUUUAUGGGUGAUCAGAGUUCGUUGCCAUCAAUGUUUUGAAGUUGGUUACAGGGCAGAUCACAUGAAAUUGUCUAGUUUGUACCUUUCAACAGUGGAAGGAACCAGAAAAUCAAAGAUUCCAACGACGCGGGAAGUUGUAAAUGUACCUUCCUUGUGCCCCACUGGUGAACUUCUGUUAAUUAUAUCACUUCCCUGUAGGUAAAUACCUGACAAUUUGUCAAUAAUAUCGGGCUGAGAAUGUUCGUUGCAGUUGCAGAGAAAUGGUGAAUCGUCUACAAAUUUGUCAUCUAUAAUUUGCGGCUUUCUAUAAGUAUGUAUGAACACAACCUACAUUGAAACAAAUGGAGAGGACAAGGGGUAAUUUAUUCCGCAGGAACUUGUGUAAUAGAUUAGAUACUCUUGUCAAAACUCCCAAUCCUUUAUUUCAGAAGAUCUGUGUGCUUGAUUUGCAAGAACCCAUGAACCAACAGAAUCACACAUUCCAGAAACUUUUAGGAACCCUUUCCAAAGCUACCGAAUCGGUGAAAAAAUGUGAGAAUGUGAGCCCCUUGAAUGUGUUUAUGAAUUGGGGAUAUGCUUCUCAGGUGCUUAAGCUGGAGAAGUGCAUCAAUGGCUACAUUCUCCACCAUUUUUCAGCAGCUAUGUUGCUGGAUAUGAAGAAUCUUGUUACAGACUUGAAAGAUUGUGAGGGUUUAUUACUGUAUAGAGUAUGCUAGUGGAAUCAGCAGCAGAUCUGUGCUUGGUGACAAAUGAUUCAAUUUUCCAAUAGAUCCAUAUGAGAAUACUCUCAAGCUUCAUUGGUCUGAGGGAUGUCUGAUAACAGUUGUAUUCAAACUGUAAAAGUAGCCCAGAAAACCCUAAAGCUUUAGUAGGACUAAACCUAUAUGGAGUUUGAAGGAAACCCUGUUCCAGAAGGAGUCCCUUGUUGGUGUACAGAGCAUGGGAGGCAGUGGGAAAAGAACUGUCAUUCGGUUUCUGUGAUGAUUAUGAAGUUAAAGGGAUUUUGGGAAGCAUUGUGGUUAUCAUCACUGUUUCACAAUCUCCAAAUUUAAAGGGCAUUUAACAGACAAUGUGGGAAAAAAUCAUCUCAAUUAGAAAACCUGAAUUUCAGAGUACAGAAGAUGCCCAUAUACAUCAGCAUCUGGUAUUCUUAAUGAACAAUCCAAGCCAACUCUGGUGGUGCUAGAUGAUUUCUGGGCAUAUUGUGAUUUGAAGCUGAAGGAUACAAAACCUUUUUUCACAACAAGGGAUUCUGAGUUCUCCUGAAACAGGUAAAGUUCUUUAUACAUAUUAAUUUAUUUGGCUUAAUUUUUACAAAUACUUCAUUAUAUAGAUAGUUAGUGGUAAAGCAUUAAUGUUAGUUUAUAAAUGUUGGAUUGUUUUUUAUUAAUAAAUCAGUGAGAACAAGGACACUGAUCUUUUACAUAGCAGAAUUAUUAAAAAUCAUGAAAAUCAUAGCGCAGAAACAGCACUAUAACAGCAAUUAACAACAGCUAUCAUCAAAAACUAUUAUAAAUGUUGGAUUGUUAAUACGUAGAUUCUUAUAUAAUUAAACAAUUUUUUCAUAAUAUAUUUUGUGUUCUUUCCAAUACUUUUGUAGAUGUAAAUUUUUAUUAUCAUAUUAUUUUUUUAAUCUUGACUAGGGUGAAGUGAUUUUUUAUUUUUGUGAAAGCAUCAUCCAAAAAAAAAAAGUAACGUAUAUUUAGAAACUUAUCAUAAGAUUUUGUCAUAAAUUAAUUUUUUUGACACUUAAUAUUUUUCUAAAAACGACAAAUGAAAGUCAUCAAAACAAUCAAACCGACACAAAAAAUUCAUUUGACAGGUAAGGGUGGCCGUCAAAUUCCAAGCCUGAUUAUUGCCGUCCCCUUUAGACCUUCAAAUUCAAUUCGUUUCAAUAUCAAACUACUUCUUUCCUGUUUCCUACCUAUUUCAAGAGCUUUGUAGCGGUGCACUUUUUAGUUGUCAGGUAGGUUUUCUGUGUCCCACAAUUACAGAUAUUUUGAUCUCAGCCGCUUUGCUUGACUUUUGAAAUCUCUUCCUCACAUAAAUUCGUGUCGAUUUGUAUGGGCUGUCGUAUCACCACAAACGUAUUAGGCAUAAUCUCAUCGUGAGAGGUAAGCUAUCUACUUCAUACCGAUUCCAGCUGAUAUAAUUAAUAUUGUUUUGCUUGCUUAUCUUAUUGGCCAUAACAGAAACUUCAGAAGUGGCACUUUUUGGUAAUACCCAACUUCCAUGAAGACGCUUUUUAGUGCAGAAGAAAUAUCACAGAAAUUACCCAGCAGAUUCCAGGUUGGUAACUUGUUUUGAAGUUUAUGGGUGAUCAGAGUUAGUCGCCAUUAAUGUUUUGAAGUUGGUUACAGGGCAGAUCACAUGAAAUUGUCUAGUUUGUACCUUUCUACAGUGGAAGCAGCCAGAAAAUCAAAGAUUCCAACGACGCGGGAAGUUGUAAAUGUACCUUCCUUGUGCCCCACUGGUGAACUUCUGUUAAUUAUAUCACUUCCCUGUAGGUAAAUACCUGACAAUUUGUCAAUAAUAUCAGGCUGAGCAUGUUCGUUGCAGUUGCAGAGAAAUGGUGAAUCAUCUUCAAAUUUGUCAUCUAUAAUUUGCAGCUUUCUAUAAGUAUGUAUGGAAACAACCUACAUUGAAACACAUUGAGAGGACAAGGGAUAAUUUAUUCCGCAGGAACUUGUAUAAUAGAUUAGAUACUCUUGUCAAAACCCCCAAUCCUUUAUUUCAGAAGAUCUGUGUGCUUGAUUUGCAAGAACCCAUGAACCAGCAGAAUCACACAUUCCAGAAACUUUUAGGAACCCUUUUCAAAGCUACCGAAUCGGUGGAAAAAUGUGAGAAUGUGAGUCCCUUGAAUGUGUUUAUGAAUUGGGGAUAUGCUUCUCAGGUGCUUAAGCUGGAGAAGGGCAUCAAUGGCUACAUUCUCCACCAUUUUUCAGCAGCUAUGUUGCUGGAUAUGAAGAAUCUUGUUACAGACUUGAAAGAUUGUGAGGGUUUAUUACUGUAUAGAGUAUGCUAGUGGAAUCAGCAGCAGAUCUGUGCUUGGUGACAAAUGAUUCAAUUUUCCAAUAGAUCCAUAUGAGAAUACUCUCAAGCUUCAUUGGUCUGAGGGAUGUCUGAUAACAGUUGUAUUCAAACUGUAAAAGUAGCCCAGAAAACCCUAAAGCUCUAGUAGGACUAAACCUAUAUGGAGUUUGAAGGAAACCCUGUUCCAGAAGGAGUCCCUUGUUGGUGUACAGAGCAUGGGAGGCAGUGGGAAAAGAACUGUCAUUCGGUUUCUGUGAUGAUUAUGAAGUUAAAGGUAAUUGGGUGAUGGAAUCUCCUCUUUCCUGAUAGAUUUUCCCUCACAAGGGAGUUUAAUCUUGGAAACUCAUUUAAUACUUGAAACCCUGAUUAUACUCCGUCAUAUUCUGGAUUUAUUCCCAAAUACAUAGUUUUUAAUUGAUCUUUUCAUUUCUAUUUGUUUAGUUUUCAGAUGCAAGUUCUUGACUUCUAAUUCAAGUUUUGGGAUGACUGAUAAGAACCAUUUUUAUCAAGUUUUUGGAUGCUGUUUUUUGGCUUCUAAUCCAUAUUCUGGGAAGACUGAUGAGAACCCUUCUUGCUUAUGAAUAUAGGGAUUUUGGGAAGCAUUGUGGUUAUCAUCACUGUUUCACAAUCUCCAAAUUUAGAGGGCAUUUAACAGACAAUGUGGGAAAAAAUCAUCUCAAUUAGAAAACCUGAAUUUCAGAGUACAGAAGAUGCCCAUAUACAUCAGCAUCUGGUGUUCUUAAUGAGCAAUCCAAGCCAACUCUGGUGGUGCUAGAUGAUGUCUGGGCAUAUUGUGAUUUGAAGCUGAAGGAUACAAAACCGUUUUUCACAACCAGGGAUUCUGAGUUCUGCUGAAUCAGGUAAAGUUCUUUAUACAUAUUAAUUUAUUUGGCUUAAUUUUUACAAAUACUUCAUUAUAUAGAUAGUUAGUGGUAAAGCAUUAAUGUUAGUUUAUAAAUGUUGGAUUGUUUUUUAUUAAUAAAGCAGUCAGAGAGAACAAGGGCACUGAUCUUUUACGUAGCAGAACUAUUAAAAAUCAUAAAAAUCAUAGCACAGAAACAGCACUAUAACAGCAAUUAACAGCAACUAUCAUAAAAAAUUAUUAUAAAUGUUAGAUUAUUGAUACAUAGAUUCUUAUAUAAUUAAACAAUUUUUUCAUAAUAUAUUUUGUGUUCUUUCCAAUACUUUUGUAGAUGUAAAUUUUUAUUAUCAUAUUAUUUUUUUAAUCUUGACUAGGGUGAAGUGAUUUUUUAUUUUUGUGAAAGCAUCAUCCAAAAAAAAAAAGUAACGUAUAUUUGUCAUUAUGCAAAAUUUCAAGAUUGCAAGUUGAAUAAAAGGUACCUAGCAUAUCAUGUGAUCAAGAGAAAAAAAAGGCCAAGGGUAGGUGGGGAUGGGUUGUAUUCAAUCAAAUCUAAAACUAUCAAAUUUUGUGAUAUAUUUCAAUAUUGGAGGAGUUGUCAAUGGGACAUUGAUUUGUAUGGUUCUUAAUGAGCUCGAGGGAUUGUAAGGAUUUAUUGGAAAGAAAAGAUUUAUAUUUUUGUGGUUAUUGGUUUUAGCUUAAGUCUCAACACUUUGUGAAUGAGUAUAUUAGAAGGAUUUGUUGAGGAGAAAGGAUUUAUAUUUUUGUGGAUAUUGGGGUUACACAAGUGCAAGUUUAGGUGUUGGAGGAUGUUUUGUCACUAGCAAUGAUGUUAAGUUACAAGUAAUGUUCAAGAUGUUGGAGUCAGUUGAUUCCAUAAUAAUGUGUCACCCCUUUUGAUGUAAGUGGAAUGUUUAAAAUUAAUAUUUUUAAUUUGUGUUAAUUGUAA